rnacentral:rRNA from 1 species
UACAGAGGGUGCAAGCGUUGUUCGGAAUUAUUGGGCGUAAAGGGCGCGUAGGCGGUGCGGUAAGUCUGUAGUGAAAUCUCUGGGCUCAACUCAGAGUCUGCUGCAGAAACUGCCGUGCUUGAGUGUGGGAGAGGUGAGUGGAAUUCCCGGUGUAGCGGUGAAAUGCGUAGAUAUCGGGGAGGAACACCUGUGGCGAAAGCGGCUCACUGGACCACAACUGACGCUGAGG